GUUAAAUUUGAUUUUAGUUUAAAAAUUUAAUUUAUAUUUUAUUUAUAUGCAUUUAUUUAAAAGAAAAGAAUUUAAAUAAUUUUUUUAUUUUUUUGCAAUGAUUAGGAUUAUACAAUAAUAGAAAUAUUGAUAAAGAAAUAUAUAAUGGUACUGGUAAAAUUUGUGCCAGCAAUCGCGGUUAUACAAAUAGUACAAUUAAAUUUUUUUUAAUAAUAAUUAAUAGGAUAAAAAUUCAAUUUUAAAUUAAAUUUAUUAAGUGAAAUUAGAAAUUUAAAUAGGGUUAGUUUAUUAUGAUUAUGAAUGUUAUGAAAUUCUUUUAUUAAACUAGGAUUAGAUACCCUACUAUAAGGAUCGUAAAAUAUGAAUAUAUUAAGGUAGUAUUAGCUAUGGUCUUGAAAUUUAAAAAAUUUGGCGGUAUUUUAGUCUUUUCAGAGGAACCUGUUCUAUAAUCGAUGAUCCACGAUUAAUUGUACUUGAUUUACAAGCUUAUAUAUCGUCGUAGUUUGAAUUUUUCAGCAGAAUAAGAAUUUUCAUAAUUUAUAAUUUUAUAAAAGAAAUCAGAUCAAGGUGUAGUUUAUAAUUAAGAAGAAAUGGGUUACAAUAAAAAUAUUUAUUAUGGUUAUAAUAAUUAAAAUUAUUAUUUAAAGCGGAUUUGAAAGUAAUAUAUUUAAUUUAAAAUAUAUGAUUUAAGCUCUAAAAUGUGCACAUAUCGCCCGUCGCUUUCAUUUAAUUAUUAAGAUGAAAUAAGUCGUAACAUAGUAGGUGUACCGGAAGGUGUACCUAGAAAGAU
rnacentral:ncRNA from 1 species